AGGGUUUGAUUAUGGCUCAGAUUGAACGCUGGCGGCAGGCCUAACACAUGCAAGUCGAGCGGUAACAGAGAGUAGCUUGCUACUCUGCUGACGAGCGGCGGACGGGUGAGUAAUGCUUGGGAAUAUGCCUUAUGGUGGGGGACAACAGUUGGAAACGACUGCUAAUACCGCAUGAUGUCUACGGACCAAAGUGGGGGACCUUCGGGCCUCACGCCAUAAGAUUAGCCCAAGUGGGAUUAGCUAGUUGGUGAGGUAAUGGCUCACCAAGGCGACGAUCCCUAGCUGGUUUGAGAGGAUGAUCAGCCACACUGGGACUGAGACACGGCCCAGACUCCUACGGGAGGCAGCAGUGGGGAAUAUUGCACAAUGGGCGCAAGCCUGAUGCAGCCAUGCCGCGUGUGUGAAGAAGGCCUUCGGGUUGUAAAGCACUUUCAGUAAGGAGGAAAGGUUAAGUGUUAAUAGCACUUAGCUGUGACGUUACUUACAGAAGAAGCACCGGCUAACUCCGUGC
rnacentral:rRNA from 1 species